UGAAAAGGACCGACCUUCGGGGAGCUUAUACAGGUGUUGCAUGGCUGUCGUCAGCUCGUGUCGUGAGAUGUUCGGUUAAGUCCGCUAACGAGCGCAACCCUCGCCGUAUGUUACAAGUGUCAUACGGGACUGCCGGUAAAAAGCCGGAGGAAGGUGAGGAUGAUGUCAAGUCAGCAUGACCUUUAUAUCCAGGGCUACACACACGCUACAAUGGUCUGUACAAUUGGUUGCCAAGCCGCGAGGCGGAGCCAAUCCGUAAAGCAGGCCUCAGUUUAGAUUGCAGUCUGCAACUCGACUGCAUGAAGCCGGAGUUGCUAGUAACCGCAGGUCAGCAAUACUGCGGUGAAUACGUUCCCGGGUCUU
rnacentral:rRNA from 1 species